rnacentral:rRNA from 1 species
GACAGCAGCAGCCGCGGGAACACGAAGGGUGCAAGUGUUAAUCGGAAUUACUGGGCGUAAAGCGUGCGUAGGCGGUGAGUUAAGUCUGCUGUGAAAUCCCCGGGCUCAACCUGGGAAUGGCAGUGGAUACUGGCUCGCUUGAGUGUGUCAGAGGAUGGUGGAAUUCCCGGUGUAGCGGUGAAAUGCGUAGAGAUCGGGAGGAACAUCAGUGGCGAAGGCGGCCAUCUGGGACAACACUGACGCUGAGGCACGAAAGCGUGGGGAGCAAACAGGAUUAGAUACCCCAGUAGUCCCUGUCUCUUAUAC